UCUAAAGAAGCUAAACUUUACUCUGUAACUAGAGGAAUACAACAUGCUGCAUACAGCCUCUAUAUGCCAGAUAUGGAAAUCAAGGCAGACGACAAAAUCCUGGACGUCGGGUGUGGAACCGGUGAUCUUGUGAAUGAGUUUGGUGACAUUGCUCAGUCAGUAAUUGAAAAAUGAAAGCUUCGGCAUAUCCAGCAAGAUCUUCAGUCAACCUCCAGAAGGUACAGUUUAAGGGGCCAGCUUCAGAGUGGACUGUUGUAAAAAGCGGUGUACCCAAUUCGCCACUCAUCAGCAGCAAGUUUCACUAUCAAAACAUAAGUAUUUCCCUGUUUGGAUUCUCUGUAGAUAUUAUUCUCCUGAAGACGAUUGAAGCAACU